rnacentral:rRNA from 1 species
GAGGGAAAGUUGAAAAGAACUUUGAAGAGAGAGUUCAAGAGUACGUGAAACCGUUUAGAGGCAAACGGAUGGGACCGCAAGGUUGUCCCCGGCAAUUCAACCCGUCCGAGCGGCGGUCGGCCCCUCGUCCGGAUCUCGCGACCGGCUUGGGGUCGGGCCGUCGUCGGCGGGCGCACUUUGCCGGAGACGAGCGCCACGACCGGUUCUCUGGCGGUCGGAAGCCCCGCAGGAAGGUGGCUGCCUUCGGGCGAGUGUUAUAGUCUGCGGAUGGUGAAGGCCCGUCGGAGGACCGAGGACCUCCCGCCGUGGCUCGGGCCCCCGGCCCCGGUCGAACGUUCGACUCGCGUGGACUGUUCUCAGUGUUCGCGGACUGCGGGCGGCCGUGGGACCGGGCUCUCCCGAGCCGACUCAGGGUCGGUGGCGAAUCGGUCGGAACCCUAUCCGACCCGUCUUGAAACACGGACCAAGGAGUCUAACAUGUGCGCGAGUCAUGGAGUGUUACGAAACUCACAGGCGCAAUGAAAGUGAAGGCUCGUCUUCAGACGUGCCCAGGUAGGAUCGCCGCCCUGGGGCGGGGCGCACUACCGGCCCGUCUCGAUCCCUCCGUGGAUGAGGCGGAGCAAGAGCGUACACGUUGGGACCCCA